rnacentral:lncRNA from 1 species
AUUGGGAUACCUUAGGAAGACUUUCUACUUGCAUUCAUCCAGCUGGCAAUCAACAUUGUACCACCUGUAAGACAGAAAAAAGGCUUUCAGCUGACAUUUUCUGGAAGCUAUGCUGAUGAUGCUUGUAAGAUUGAGGGAAGUGCUCUAAAAAGUGAGAAUAUUAUGCAAUAAUUAAUAAAAGAAGUUGAAAGGUCUCCUAAACUGUAAGAAUUAGAGAAACCAACUGUAGCUUCAUGGAAAAUCCUGAAUAUUUUGGACUCUACUGAAAAAAUAAGAUUUU